rnacentral:lncRNA from 1 species
AGAUUUUUAGAGCCUAUAGAUGAGAGAGAUUUUUAGAGAUUUUAGAGAUUAUAUAGAACUUUAAGAGCUAAAAUACAGAGAUAUAGACUGCCAAAAUUUGGGAGCUAAAAAAAUACUACUGAUUACUGAAAUUCUCAAUCUCUAAAAUAACUGAUGAUCUUUGUGAAAGUUUUAAAAAUAGUUUGAAUCUGGGUUUUUGGCUUCUAAGUUGAAGUUGAUUUCUAGCUAAAGCUACUGUUCUAUCGCUGCUACUUCCUUACUUUUUUUCCUUUAAUUUCCAGGUACAAAUUUCUGAACCCCUCAUAAAUGUGAAAUCCAAUUUGAAGAUGAAACGAAGCAGUUCUACAUCUUAAUAUUAGUUUCUUUUGUGCUGAAAGUAUUUAUUUCUCUCAUGCCUCUACACCUUGUUCGUCAAUGAUGUAGUUUUUAGAGAUUUUUCUUUUAGAGUAGUUGACAUCUCAGGAUGUAACAGAUUGUGGACUGUUGAGACUAUGACUUUUUUAGAUUUUGUUUGUUUGAGUAGCUUUAGUAGUGAAGUUUAAUUUUGAAACCCAUGUUAGCUUGAAUGUAGAAGCAAUUUGGGAACUAGUAGGUUCUAUCAUUAUCCAGCGUGCGUAGACUUUUAAGUGCCUUCAAGGUGUGCUAUCAUGUUUAAAUGUUAAUUUUGCUCAUAAAGCAUGAAAAAAUCAUCGAGAGUUUAGUUUAUAAUAUCACUGAUUCCUUUUAAUCAUGUUUGAAAUAUUAGUUUAAAUUUAAAAUUUGGAAUAUUGUGUGGGCCUGAAAGUGAUACGUGUGUUUGCACUAGUGUAAUUUUAUGGCUAUUAGAUGUUUUAAGAUUGUGUUAAGUUGAAUUGCGAUCCAUGUUAUUUCCAUAAUCUCAGUUUUAUGGUUGUGAGUAUAUGAUUUUUGUCCUACAUGAAUAACUCCUAUAAAUUCAAACAAAAUCAUUUCUUUUAUUGGUAUGCAAUUUUAUGAAUUUUGUGGCACCUUUCGUUAUUUGUUCGCAUUUGUUUGUGCAUUUUAAUUAGGGAAAAAUACAAAAAAUAUAUCGCAUGCGCAUUUUGGAGUAGAUAUGAUAUUUUUCAAGCAAUAAUUAGCUAUUAGUCAUUUUAUAAAAGGAAAAACAAAAAAUAGGUUCAAUUUGCUCUUUUAAUUUUAAUUUUUAUAUUUUUAGGUAAUUGUUUCUCUAAUGUUUUGAUAAUAAUUAUAUAGGGUUGGUUUGCAUUUUAUAGGUAAAAUUGAGAUUUUGUGAUUAUUUUAGGAGUUUUAGCAGUUUUUGUGAAUGAAAAUAAAAAUAAAAAUGAAAAGAAAUCUGAAAAUUCAAUUCAAAAAAGAAGACCCAAAAUUGGGCCAUUUUAAAUAAAAUUUCAGCCCAAAACACCAUAAGUACCGGCCCAUUCCACACCUAAACCUGUCCAACCCACCAAUACAAAAUGAUGUCGUUUUGGUGUCAUUCAAUCUCGAUCGUUUAGGUUUUAGAUCCUACGGUCCAUGAAGCCUGGUCUUUAUGUAUAUAUGUGUUCGAACCCCCCUACCUCCCAAAAAUAACGUCGUACCUUGUCUCUAACAUCACCCUCAAAAACUUUAGACCCACCGCCGCCCCACCGUGCGCUGCCAGCCGGAAAUCACCUCUACCGGCGGCAAUGUUCUAAAUUACACCAAAUUUACACCGUUAACUCCCCUUAACCUUCUCUAUCCAAAUAUGCAACCACUGUCCCUCGAAUCACCCCCAUCGCCUCAAAUAUUAGCUGAAAGUUUUGAAUCCGUUACCGUGCACGGCACCGCAGCCUCUUCUCCACCCCAAAUUGAUACCAAACAACCCCAAUGCCUCCGUCAUGCCAAAUCCAUACUCAAUCGUACUCAAACACUUCCACAAUCACUCAAAACCCAAAUCUAGGGUUUUCCAGUUUCUCUGAUGGUACAUGAAGGCCUUGACUCGUGUUCAGAGUCUGAUUCAACUAAUGCUAAGUUUUCUAUGUUCUUUGUCUUAUUUUAUUUUCUCUUCGCAUCAUCUCUUAUUCCAUUAAUCUUGUUAUUUUAUGUAAAAUCCUGAGCUCAAGUUUAAUUAGGGUGGUAUCAGUUUUAUUUUGGUUAAAUUAGUUAGUUAAGUUAAUUAGGGCCGUGUUGUUAACAAUGCAUCAGUAUAUUUUGUGAGUUAACUCAUAUCUUUUGUGGUUGGCUUCCAUGUUUAGUCCAAAGUAGUAAGUUAAAUUUCGUGAUAAGACCUGAGGUCAUUGUUGCACGCUGGUUCCGUGUAACAAUUUGGUUUUCUAUUUUUCCUUGAGUUCUGCAUUUUUUUAGAACUUGCAUAAUUUGAUCAAUUUGGAUUGGUUUUAUUGGCUUAAACUUGUUAAAGACCUGAGAAUUUAGCCCAACAGACUAAAAGAAAUUCAAUGGAAAUGGUAGAGGGUAAUUAAUAAUACCUCAAAGGGUAAUUUGGAUAUGUCUAGGUUAGAGAAUCUUUCACAACAAAAUAGGAAGCUUCUACUAGGGGUUGUUAUUGAAUUUCAGAAUGUAUGGUAGUUUAAUUUGGUCAACAAGUCAUAAAAGCGGGGACUAAAAUGAAAUAACUAAAUCUAAGGUUUCCCUACUUUCCUUGUCCAUAAAGGCAUUAUACUUUCCUUAGAAAAAGGGGGACCGAAGAACAGAAAAUUCUAGACGGCUAAAAAGUUUAGAAAAAACAUUGUUUCAUUGAGUUCUUCUAGUAGUUUUUGAACUUUUCCUGGGGCUGAAACAAGUUUUGAUUAGCUGAAAUUCGAAAAAAUAAUUUAAAUCAAGCUUUAUUGAAGUAUCUUGGUCUAUUGUUUGGACUGAAGCUGUACUCUGGGUUGUUUUACCUCACUUUUUGGGUGUGAAAUUUGGUUCUAAACUGCUGAUUCUGUUGUCUUGUUACCGCUGCUGAAUCUCACCCCUUGGUUACUCUCAUUUCUAGGUACGCUUCUAUAUUCUACCCCAUGUGAAUGUUUGAGUUAAAAGGUUAAAUGGAAAGCUUAGUUUCAAACAUGGCGUUGUUUUCAUUGAGUUAAUUGUAUGCUUCGGUUUUCAUCUGGGAUUUGAUGUUGUUAUCUUAUUUGGUUGAGAUUAGAUUGCAUAUGUGAAAUCUGUUUAGGGUAUUUGUAUAGGGCUCAUUGGUUACAAACUUGUGUCCAAUUAAAUGUUGGUGCUGUAUAAUUGAACAUUUUUAUCCUUGUUGCUUAAUUUUGAAUCCUUUUAAGAGUCUGGUAGGCAUGUUAAUUGGGUUGAUUUUGUAGCUAAUCUUGCCUUCCCACUGAGGGAUUGUAAACUCUCUAAAGGGCCAAGGACUGAUUGGUUUCCAAGGUUUCGACACUGCUUUGUCUCUAAAAAUGAGUGAAUUGGUUUGAAGUUUUGUGCUGCACUCGAUACAUAGUUCUAGUUUGGAUAUGACUUGCAUAGUCAUUGGCUAUUGGGUUAAUCAUGUAGUUUUUUGUAUGAAAUAGGAACCUUUGUUUAAUUAGCUUGUGCUUCAAAUUGUAAGUUCAGCGAGUUAUUCUGGGCAACUUUUACGAAAUAACUGGAAUAACGUAACGUGGAUCUGCCAUAACAACUUGAUUCAAUAGGGCAUGUCCAUGAAUUUGAUUUUAGUUUAAUUAAUUUAAAAAGAGAUGUGAAGAGUGUAUAAACAUGCCUAUGUAGAAUUACGGUUGUGAAUGGAACAAAUUCCUAAUGCUAUUGGUUUGUAUGAUUCACAAUUGUAACACCCCAGAAUUACUGAGCCCAUUUUAAAUCUGGACUUCAUGACAGUUGCAGGGAAAUCAAGAAUGCUCAAGGUUGCUUCCAUGCAAAUAUAAUUAAUUUUUUAGAAAAUAAUUCGAGGCGUGCCAUAUGUAACCAAAUUGUGAAAUCUAUAGCCCUAAAAAGUUUAGUUCAAACACCCUUUCAAAAUAGAACCCGAGGUGCACCACUUAGAAAACUUUCGCGGCCCUCGCAUACAUAAACACAAAAAAUUGACUUAGGCGCGCUAGUUAAAUAAUUUAUCUUCCUAAUUACGGGUGCGCAUUUGUGUGACCCAAAUCCAAAUCCCAACAAUGUUAAAAUACAUCAAAAGUCGCGGGUGCAUUUAUGCGACGUGGUUCGAGAUGUGUUUUAAUAACGUUGCAAUCUUCUUAAAAUUAAAUAAAGGUGGUUAAAAGUAAAUAUGCACAUAGGCAUUAAAACUUAAUAAAAUCAAAUAAUUAAGCCAAAUAUAAUAGUUGAGCAACUCUACUAGAACCAAAGAACUCGGGAGUGCCUAACACCUUCUCCCGGGUUAACAUAAUUCCUUACACGGAUUUUUGGCUCACAAACUGUAUACAGAGUCAAACCUUCCUCGAUUCGGGAUUUAAAUUGGUAACUUGGGACACCAUAAACUAUCCCAAUUGGCAACUUUGAAAUCUCUUAAAUAAAUAAAUCCCGCUUCAAUUAUCCUUUAAUUGGAAAAACUCCCUUAACUAUGCUCUUCACGGGGUGUAGUGUAAAAAGGAGGUGUGACAGCUCUGGCGACUCUGCUGAGGAUCAAACCCAGAAUCUCUAGUUCAGAGUUCAAGAACAAAAGCUUUAAAUAAUUGUUGUAUCUGGCUUUGUUAUUAUCUGAUUUUAUUGUAUAAUUGUGCCCAAUGUGUUAAAUGUUGUUUUACCACUUUAAUAUUAUUUGGACUGUAUAUAAACUGCUGCGAAACCCUUCUCUUCUCAUCUUCGAAGAUGUGUUCGCUUGUCGAGGCUCCCUAUUCUGUUAGUGUCAUACCUUCAAAUAAUAAAGAGGCUCGGACAAGUUACAAA